UACAGAGGGGGGCAAGCGUUGUUCGGAAUUACUGGGCGUAAAGGGCGCGUAGGCGGCCGCCUAAGUCAGACGUGAAAUCCCUCGGCUCAACCGGGGAACUGCGUCUGAUACUGGGUGGCUUGAAUUCGGGAGAGGGAUGCGGAAUUCCAGGUGUAGCGGUGAAAUGCGUAGAUAUCUGGAGGAACACCGGUGGCGAAGGCGGCAUCCUGGACCAACACUGACACUGAGGAGCGAAAGCCAGGGGAGCAAACGGG
rnacentral:rRNA from 1 species